rnacentral:lncRNA from 1 species
AUGAUUAAUUUUUGCAUCUUCUUUCUUACAGAUUCAUUUUCUGGUAUAAAAACACAAGGUGGGUGUAAGUUUAAUGAUGGUUUUGUUAUUAACCAUGUGAUCCAACAUAAUUUUACCAUUAACAUUUCAGGUCUGGUUCCACCUGAACUGACAGUGACUCCACUGGUGAUCACAGAGUCAGACUCAGUCACUGUGAACUGUCAGACUCCAUCAUCUGUUCCUGUCUAUCAGUGUUGGCUCUACUCAGUGAGGGAUCAAACCUCCAGAGUCGUCUCUUGUCAUCAGACACUGACAGGAACUGAGCUGAUGAAAAUGACUCAUCAAAGUUCACCUGCUGAUAUUGAAGUUACAUGUUAUUACACUGUGGAGCAAAGAGGAACUAAAUCUCAAUCUCCACUUAGUAACUCUAUCAUCAUACAGAGUCUGGUUCCACCUGAGCUGACAGUGACUCCACUGGUGAUCACAGAGUCAGACUCAGUCACUGUGAACUGUCAGACUCCAUCAUCUGUUCCUCUGAGUCAGUGUUACUUUAACUUUGGUAAAGACAAACCUGCCAAACCCUUCUCUUGUCAGAAGACGCUGACAGGAACUGAACUGCUGCAAAUCACAAACCAAAAUUCACCUGCUGAAGUUGCAGUCAGCUGUUUUUACCUUAAAACGCAUCGGGCUCCAAACAGUAAUGUGUUCUCCAUCAGCAUACGACUACCUCGGCCUGAGCUGACAGUGACUCCACUGGUGAUCACAGAGUCACACUCAGUCACUGUGAACUGUCAGACUCCAUCAUCUGUUCCUGUCUAUCAGUGUUGGCUCUACUCAGUGAGGGAUCAAACCUCCAGAGUCGUCUCUUGUCAUCAGACACUGACAGGAACUGAGCUGAUGAAAAUGACUCAUCAAAGUUCACCUGCUGAGAUUGAAGUUACAUGUUAUUACAGUGUAGAGCAAGGAGGAACUCUUUCUCUGUCUCCACAUAGUAACUCUGUCAUCA